rnacentral:rRNA from 1 species
UACGUAGGUGGCAAGCGUUAUCCGGAAUUAUUGGGCGUAAAGAGCGCGCAGGUGGUUGAUUAAGUCUGAUGUGAAAGCCCAUGGCUUAACCGUGGAGGGUCAUUGGAAACUGGUCGACUUGAGUGCAGAAGAGGGAAGUGGAAUUCCAUGUGUAGCGGUGAAGUGCGUAGAGAUAUGGAGGAACACCAGUGGCGAAGGCGGCUUCCUGGUCUGUAACUGACACUGAGGCGCGAAAGCGUGGGGAGCAAACAGGAUUAGA